UACGUAGGGAGCAAGCGUUGUUCGGAUUUACUGGGCGUAAAGGGCGCGUAGGCGGCAAAUCAAGUCAGCUGUGAAAUCUCCGAGCUUAACUCGGAACGGUCAGCUGAUACUGUUUUGCUAGAGUGCAGAAGGGGCAAUCGGAAUUCUUGGUGUAGCGGUGAAAUGCGUAGAUAUCAAGAGGAACACCUGAGGUGAAGACGGGUUGCUGGGCUGACACUGACGCUGAGGCGCGAAAGCCAGGGGAGCAAACGGG
rnacentral:rRNA from 1 species